rnacentral:rRNA from 1 species
CCUGGGGAGUACGGCCGCAAGGUUAAAACUCAAAUGAAUUGACGGGGGCCCGCACAAGCGGUGGAGCAUGUGGUUUAAUUCGAUGCAACGCGAAGAACCUUACCUACUCUUGACAUCCAGAGAACUUAGCAGAGAUGCUUUGGUGCCUUCGGGAACUCUGAGACAGGUGCUGCAUGGCUGUCGUCAGCUCGUGUUGUGAAAUGUUGGGUUAAGUCCCGCAACGAGCGCAACCCUUAUCCUUUGUUGCCAGCGGUUA